rnacentral:lncRNA from 1 species
GCAACUGGUCCUCUGACUUAACUAAUUAUUUAAUUUGGAAGUUAUAGGUUUUUUAUUACUUGAGGAGCAGCUUUCUCUGAACAAAUACAGUGUCCCCUGGGGUGUCCAAAUUGUGACAGAAAAGUAGCGCCAGCUUGAAACUAGCUAGUCAUCACAUAGUGGCAUCAUGUGAAUGAAGAAUCCCCCAAAUCUGUGACCCUCUUCUAUCCUUAUGAACUAAUUCAAUAAAUAAAUGAGCACUUUCUCAGUUCCCAAACUGAGAGCAGUUUAAAAAAAUAAUGAGAGCACAGAUAUCUAUUUAGAGAGAUGGCGAGAUAGAGGAGAGAGCAAGUUGCACACCACGAAACAAAGGGAAAGAUAAGAAGAGAGAGUGUGUCACUACUUCCCCGUGGCAGAAUCACAAUCUUUUUUGGAUGUCAUGUUGAAAAGAUUCCCAAUUCGUAGUUCUGUGAGCUAAAGCAGAUGGAUGCUCCAUGUUGGUACAAAUUCCUAUUUGAAGCAGUGUGGUUGCAAAGAUGGG